rnacentral:rRNA from 1 species
AACGAACGCUGGCGGCAUGCCUAACACAUGCAAGUCGAACGAGACCUUCGGGUCUAGUGGCGCACGGGUGCGUAACGCGUGGGAACCUGCCCUUAGGUUCGGAAUAACUCCCCGAAAGGGGUGCUAAUACCGGAUAAUGUCUUCGGACCAAAGAUUUAUCGCCUUUGGAUGGGCCCGCGUUGGAUUAGCUAGUUGGUAGGGUAAAAGCCUACCAAGGCGACGAUCCAUAGCUGGUCUGAGAGGAUGAUCAGCCACACUGGGACUGAGACACGGCCCAGACUCCUACGGGAGGCAGCAGUGGGGAAUAUUGGACAAUGGGCGAAAGCCUGAUCCAGCAAGGCCGCGUGAGUGAUGAAGGCCUUAAGGUUGUAAAGCGCUUUUACCCGGGAUGAUAAUGACAGUACCGGGAGAAUAAGCUCCGGCUAACUCCGUG